rnacentral:rRNA from 1 species
GUACCGCAUGGUACCGUGUGAAAAGCCGAGACGGUAUGAGAUGGACCCGCGUCUGAUUAGCUAGUUGGUGGGGUUAACGGCCCACCAAGGCGACGAUCAGUAGCCGACCUGAGAGGGUGACCGGCCACAUUGGGACUGAGACACGGCCCAAACUCCUACGGGGAGGCAGCAGUGGGGAAUAUUGCACAAUGGGGGGAAACCCUGAUGCAGCGACGCCGCGUGAGUGAAGAAGUAUUUCGGGUAUGUAAAGCUCCUAUCAGCAGGGAAGAAAAUGACGGUACCUGACUAAGAAGCCCCGGCUAACUACGUG